UCGGCGUCACCGCCAUCGCCACCACCAGUGACUGUAAAAGGGUCAUCAGUGGCGGUGGGGAAGGGGAGGUGAGGGUAUGGCAGAUAGGCUGUCAGACUCAGAAGCUGGAGGAGGCCCUGAAGGAACACAAGUCAUCAGUCUCCUGCAUUAGGGUGAAGAGGAACAACGAGGAGUGUGUCACCGCCAGCACCGAUGGGACUUGUAUCAUUUGGGACCUUGUGCGUCUCAGGAGGAAUCAGAUGAUACUAGCCAACACCUUAUUCCAGUGUGUGUGCUAUCACCCUGAGGAGUUCCAGAUCAUCACCAGCGGAACAGACAGAAAGGGAAUUUCUGAGACUGGAGUACAAUUGCCGUGCCCAAACCAGUUAUCACUUUGACUAAAUUCGGACAGAAAGGCAAUAGAGCUCCUCAUCUCUCAGCACUGUACUUCAUCAAUACAUUAAAAAUCUACACAU
rnacentral:sRNA from 1 species